GAUCUGCAUGAAAGCUACAGAAAAGGAGCUACAAAAUAGAAUUUGUUAUGUUCAAGUUCAACUUGGUUCAUCCUUGUGGCUACCUCACAAUUCGAUGAUGGUUCAAAAGCAGAAAAGAAUUGAUCCCAGAAGUUGAAGAACAAUAUGGGGAUUCAUUUUCAGUUUGGAAGGAUGUGAUGGCUUGGAUUGGAAUGACUGCUUUGCUUCUAGUUUUAGUUGGUUCAUCGUCAAUGAGUAUGACUUAGUAGGAGU
rnacentral:lncRNA from 7 species